CUCGAGUGGCGAACGGGUGAGUAACACGUGGGUGAUCUGCCCUGCACUUCGGGAUAAGCUUGGGAAACUGGGUCUAAUACCGGAUAGGAGCCAUCUUUAGUGUGGUGGUUGGAAAGUUUUUUCGGUGUAGGAUGAGCUCGCGGCCUAUCAGCUUGUUGGUGGGGUAAUGGCCUACCAAGGCGGCGACGGGGUAGCCGGCCUGAGAGGGUGUACGGCCACAUUGGGACUGAGAUACGGCCCAGACUCCUACGGGAGGCAGCAGUGGGGAAUAUUGCACAAUGGGCGCAAGCCUGAUGCAGCGACGCCGCGUGGGGGAUGAAGGCCUUCGGGUUGUAAACUCCUUUCGCUAGGGACGAAGCUUUAUUGUGACGGUACCUAGAUAAGAAGCACCGGCUAACUACGUGCCAGCAGCCGCGGUAAUACGUAGGGUGCGAGCGUUGUCCGGAAUUACUGGGCGUAAAGGGCUCGUAGGUGGUUUGUCGCGUCGUCUGUGAAAUUCUGGGGCUUAACUCCGGGCGUGCAGGCGAUACGGGCAUAACUUGAGUGCUGUAGGGGUAACUGGAAUUCACUGGUGUAGCGGUGAAAUGCGCAGAUAUCAGGAGGAACACCGAUGGCGA
rnacentral:rRNA from 1 species